rnacentral:rRNA from 1 species
AUACGUAGGUGACAAGCGUUAUCCGGAUUUACUGGGCGUAAAGGGCGUGUAGGCGGUCUUGCAAGUCAGAAGUGAAAUUCCUGAGCUCAACUCGGGCGCUGCUUCUGAAACUGCAGGACUUGAGUGCUGGAGGGGAUAGCGGAAUUCCUAGUGGAGCGGUAAAAUGCGCAGAUAUUAGGAAGAACACCGGUGGCGAAGGCGGCUAUCUGGACAGUAACUGACGCUGAGGCGCGAAAGCGUGGGGAGCAAACAGGAUUAGAUACCCUGGUAGUCCACGCUGUAAACGAUGGGUACUAGGUGUAGGAGGUAUCGACCCCUUCUGUGCCGGAGUUAACGCAAUAAGUACCCCGCCUGGGGACUACGGUCGCAAGACUAAAACUCAAAGGAAUUGACGGGG